GAUAUUGUGAUGACUCAGUCUCCACUCUCCCUGCCCGUCACCCCUGGAGAGCCGGCCUCCAUCUCCUGCAGGUCUAGUCAGAGCCUCCUGCAUAGUAAUGGAUACAACUAUUUGGAUUGGUACCUGCAGAAGCCAGGGCAGUCUCCACAGCUCCUGAUCUAUUUGGGUUCUAAUCGGGCCUCCGGGGUCCCUGACAGGUUCAGUGGCAGUGGAUCAGGCACAGAUUUUACACUGAAAAUCAGCAGAGUGGAGGCUGAGGAUGUUGGGGUUUAUUACUGCAUGCAAGCUCUACAAACUCCUCCCACA
rnacentral:lncRNA from 1 species